rnacentral:misc_RNA from 1 species
GAUGAAGAACGUAGCGAAAUGCGAUAAGUAAUGUGAAUUGCAGAAUUCAGUGAAUCAUCGAAUCUUUGAACGCACAUUGCGCCCGCCAGUAUUCUGGCGGGCAUGCCUGUUCGAGCGUCAUUUCAACCAUCAAGCCCUGCUUGCGUUGGGGUCCUGCGGCUGCCCGCAGGCCCUGAAAACCAGUGGCGGGCUCGCUAGUCACACCGAGCGCAGUAAUACAUCUCGCUUUGGGCGUGCGGCGGGUUCUUGCCGUUAAACACCCCCUUUUUACCAAGGUUGACCUCGGAUCAGGUAGGAAUACCCGCUGAACUUAAGCAUAUCAAUAACCGGAGGA